GGGAAUUUAGCUCAGUCGUAGAGCACCUGUCUAACAAGCAGGAGGCCCUGGGUUUCAAUCCCUAAUACUGA
rnacentral:tRNA from 1 species